rnacentral:rRNA from 1 species
GGAUUUGAUCCUGGUCCAGGAUGAACGCUGGCGGCGUGGAUAAGGCAUGCAAGUCGAGCGCUCCGACGGAUCCCCGCAAGGGGGCUCGUCGGAGAGCGGCGAACGAGUCAGUAACACCUUGGUUACCUACCCCGAAGUCAGGCAUAGCUCAUCGAAAGAUGGGGUAAUACCUGAUAGUCCUGCAAAGGUAAAGGUUCGCAAGAAUCGCUUCGGGAGGGACCUAGGUUCGAUCAGCUUGUUGGUAGGGUAACGGCCUAGCAAGGCUACGACCGAUAGGCGGGGUGAGAGCCUGAUCGCCGACGAGGGCACUGAGACACGGGCCCUACUCCUACGGGAGGCCGCAGUCGAGAAUAUUCCACAAUGGGCGAAAGCCUGAUGGAGCGACGCCGCGUGCGGGAUGAAGGUCUACGGACUGUAAACCGCUUUUCCUUGGGAAGAAGCCGAGCACAUAAGUGCGGAAGAAAUUCGGCGCUUAUGUGCUCGGUUGACGGUACCAAGGGAAUAAGGGGUGGCUAACUUCGUGCCAGCAGCAGCGGUAAUACGAAGACCCCGAGUGUUAUCCGGAUUUAUUGGGCGUAAAGAGUGUGUAGGAGGUUUGGUGCGUCUGUCGUUAAAUCCCACUGCCUAACAGUGGGGCCGCGGCAGAUACGGCCAGACUAGAGGAGGUGAGAGGUCUGUGGAACGCACGGUGUAGGGGUGAAAUCCGUUGAUAUCGUGCGGAACACCAAAGGCGAAGGCAGCAGACUGGCGCCUUCCUGACUCUAAGACACGAAAGCGUGGGGAGCAAAAAGGAUUAGAUACCCUUGUAGUCCACGCCCUAAACUAUGCCGGCUAGCCGUUUCGAGUAUCGACCCUCGGAGUGGCGCAGCUAACGCGUUAAGCCGGCCGCCUGGGAAGUACGAGCGCAAGCUUAAAACUCAAAGGAAUAGACGGGGGUUUGCACAAGCAGUGGAGCAUGAGGUUUAAUUCGAUAGCAAGCGAGAAACCUUACCAGGGUUUGAAACUGAGACGAAAGUCCGACGAAAGUUGGACCCUUUGCUUUUAGUGAACGGCUCAGCAGGUGCUGCACGGUUGCCGUCAGCUCGUGUCUUGAGAUGUACCCUUAAGUGGGGAAACGAGCGCAACCCUUACCAGUAGUUACAAGUGUCUACUGGGACUGCCCGUCACAGAUGGGAGGAAGGAGAGGAUGACGUCAAAUCAGCGUGGC